CCUCGGGGACCUGCUGCGGGCAGAUCAGGUGGACGUGGCAGUCCACCGCCCCCGCGGUGAGGAUCUUCCCGUUGCCGGCGAGGAUCUCCGUGCCCGGUCCGAUGACCAGGUCGGGAUGGACGCCGUCCAUGAUGUCGGGGUUGCCGGCCUUGCCGAGCGCGACGAUCCGCCCGUCCCGGAUACCGACGUCGGCCUUGACGACCCCCCAGUGGUCGAGGAUCACCGCCCCGGUGAUGACGAGGUCCGGGGCACCCUCGGCGCGCGACGUCCGGGCCUGCCCCAUGGACUCCCGGA
rfam:Frankia sp. Dg2 genome assembly, contig: Dg2_contig752